GGGGGCAUCGCGGGCGCGGUCGCGCCGUUCCUCGGCGGGUGGAUCGUCGAGGUGACGACGUGGCGGUGGGUGUUCGGGAUCAACCUGCCGCUC
rnacentral:tRNA from 1 species